rfam:Herminiimonas arsenicoxydans chromosome, complete sequence.
CGCAUCAAGGAGCGUUGCGACAGAUCGUUCGAUCUGCCAGGCUUGAUGCGGUCAGUAAUAGCAACUGCGCUCACGUUUC